rnacentral:rRNA from 1 species
UACAGGGGGUGCAACCGUUGCUCGGAAUUAUUGGGCGUAAAGCGCGCGUAGGCGGCUUCUUAAGUCGGAUGUGAAAGCCCUUGGCUCAACUGAGGAAGUGCACCCGAAACUGAGUGGCUAGAGUACGAAAGAGGGUCGCGGAAUUCCCGGUGUAGAGGUGAAAUUCGUAGAUAUCGGGAGGAACACCGGUGGCGAAGGCGGCGACCUGGGUCGAUACUGACGCUGAUGCGCGAAAGCGUGGGGAGCAAACAGG